UGAGGAAGUCCCGCCCCCACCUCGAAAGAGGAACCGCGGGCCUGACAGCUUGGGGGCGGACCUGGCUGAGGAGACGCCGUGCUACGCUCUUCCUCUAACCUUUCACUCUUAGAUUUUUUUCCAGAACAAAGCUGGAGGAAUCCUGGCUCUGCCAAAUACAGGCUUACUACCCAGGCAAGUCACUUCUCCGUGCCUCAGUUUUCUCAUUUGUAAAGGCAGUGUCCAGCGUUUAGGAUUGUUGUGAGAAUUAAAGUAGCAAAUCCAGAUAAUGCCUCCAGCGUUAGACCUGGUGCUUGGUACAAAAUGGCGGUGAUUAUUUUUAUUGCCCUCCUAUUCUGCUUCUGGUCCCUCUUCUUUUUUAAAAAGCUUUUAUUUGCUUGCAAGGCAGAAUGAGAGGGAGAGACAGAGAUCGCCCAUCUAAUGGUUCACUCCCCGACUGCCUGUUGCAUCUGGGACCGCACCAGGCUACAGCCAGGAACUCCAUCCUGGUUGCCCAUAUGGGUUGCAGGAAUCCAAGAACUUGGGUCCUCACCUGCUGCCUCCCACCCGAAGCUGUAACCAAAAUGGAGUAGCGGGGACUAGAAUCUGCUUCCUAAGCAGGCUUAACCCACUGAGCCACAACGCCCGCCCCUUGUCACUCUUCUUGAUUGCUUUUCUAUUUUAGCAAUGCUCACUGACAAAUUGUGGUAAGAUUUACUAUUGAGACACUGUUAGCCAUCACAAAACACACCGAAUUGCCCGAAUAAGGGAAAGGGUCUAUUGGGGAACACCCAACAGACUGGAGUGAAGGGGUGGUGAAGGGAAAGAAAGAGUAUAAGAGAGAGAGAGAGACAGAGGAGAGGAGAUAGUGAGGAGAGAAGAUAGAGCAGAGAGACAUGCCGAGAGAGGAGCCAAGAGAGCACAUGUUCAGGAGCAGGCCCUUUUAAAACUUUGCCGGAGGGCAGGCCGGGAAGCAGGAGCAGCGAAUCCCAUUAGGAUGGGGGUGGAGCUUGACAACAGAGGUUGGGCCAUGUGGCCACCUGGCUUCCAGCAAUGGCGGCAGAGGCUAGAGCUUGGGGUGUAAAUCAGGGUAUAGAUCACGCCAUAGAUAAAACUGCACCAGUUUCCUAACAGACACAAUCCAGAAAUGAGUAAGAGUGUAGUGCUGCCAACAUGUCUAGGGCAUUGGAUCAGGAAAAGAGAUAGAUUUAGGAAGAGCAGUCCUUAGCGGGUAAGGACACUUGGUAUUCUGUAAAAAGACAGAACUGGCACUAACUUGGACCUCAUGGUGUUUCUGGCCACAUUUGAAAAACAGCCAGUCUUCCAACAUUUCCACUAAGAAAUCUACGGGUUAUUCUAGCAGGUCGUAACCUGGAGGGAGAGAUCAGAUUGGGGUAUCUGUCUCUCACUAAACCCAUUCUGCAUUAUUUUGAAAGAUAAGGAAGGGAAGUAUGAGGAGAGUGGAGCACAGUAGGUAGAAGAGGGGAAUCAGAGAUGUCUAGUUGCAUAAUGCCCCCAGGCCAAACUGUUGGCUUUGAAAGAGAGAAAAGACAUUAACAAAGGCAUACUCUGAAGGGUUAAAAAGUUAGAAGCCGCUUCCCCCCAACCUCCUCUGGUGAACUUUCCUGACCUCGUUAGACUUGCUCUGCAUAGCCAUUCUCUGUAAAGUUAAUUAGUCAGUAAAUUACCCCAAUGUGAGCGUAACCUUAGUUUCACCUAAGUAAGAUAGAAGAAGUCACCGUAUAUCUCUUUGCCUCCUGGAACUCUGACCCCACCGUGUGUCCCUUAUCGCCAUUCAGCUGCAUUCCUGGUAUCAUCAAGGCAGUUCCUGCAAUCUUGUGUGGCCCUCCCUUUUGGCAAUAGGAGGCUUUUUGAUACUCCCUGUAUAGGCCAUAUGGUUCUUUGAGGUCUAAUCAGGCCCUUACUCGGUAUCCUAUACUCCCUGUAUUCAUAAAUCAACUGAUUGUAAAAUCACUUAACUUGUAUCAAUUGUUUACUCUAUACCACUGUCUGCUCUACCCAAUGAUUGAUUUUCUUUGUUUAAACGUGUAUAAAAACCCCAACCCAAGACUAUUCGAGGCAGCUCGCCUGUACUGGGACGGGGGCCCCGACAUGUCGGAACAUCAAUAAACUUUACCCUUUGUUAA